GCAGUCGUGGCCUAAUGGUUAGAGAGUGGGUCUUGUAACCCGAAGGCCGUGGGUUCGAGUCUCAGGUCCGGCA